GUUGCUUCAGGUACUUAGUACAGGACUGGUUGUGAGCAAAUAGUGGCAUAUUUGUGGUGUCAAAGACAGUGCCAAUUCACAUUGUAUUACAUCAUUUAUAACUCCAAACUUCCAGUCUGUACCAAAGAAAGAAGCCAGCAAUUCGCAGUUCGCUGAGUUUGCUGCUUUAUUUAUAAGCAGGGGCCCUUUAAAAGGACUGACAGCCGAUUUUCAAGCAUUCCCCUUUUCUUGGCGCCAUGGAAAGCCUACUAUUUGAAGCAUCUGUAUCUGCAACAGUUCAUCCAGGAAAUGUCUGGAAAUUUUUAACAUGUUAUUUUUCGAUCUGUGCAGUCUCUUCUACUUACUGUAUACGGAUGCCAGCAACAGUGAUAACUGGUAUUGAUAGCAACAGAAAUGAGCAAUUCGAAACACAUGCAGAUUAGGCGGCGAAAUAGCUGUUAAAUGCUGAGACUGCGGCCUAAAAAACAUCCGUAACAACUUUUUAUUGCUGUAUAUAGAUGUCAUGGACACUUCUAUAUUGGAAAAUUUCCUACUGGUGACAGAAUAAAACAUGGAAACCUUGGCGUCAUA